UACAGAGGUCUCAAGCGUUGUUCGGAUUCAUUGGGCGUAAAGGGUGUGUAGGUGGCGCCGUAAGUCGGGGUGUGAAAUCUCGGAGCUUAACUCCGAAACUGCAUUCGAUACUGCCGUGCUUGAGGACUGGAGAGGAGACUGGAAUUUACGGUGUAGCGGUGAAAUGCGUAGAUAUCGUAAGGAAGACCAGUGGCGAAGGCGGGUCUCUGGACAGUUCCUGACGCUGAGGCACGAAGGCCAGGGGGAGCAAACGGGG
rnacentral:rRNA from 1 species